UGGCGAAUGUCUUGUUGUUUUGGAAGGGGCAGGGGGAAAAAAAUGGAGGAUAUUGUAAUGUACACAAAGGGAUACAUCCAGCUUGGCCGGGGUUUAAGAGGAAGAGACCGCCCAGCGGCAGCUCUCCACGGCCGGGCUGAACAAACUAGGAGUGAGGACGGCGAGAAAGAAGACAAGGUUGGACUUCACCGGAACCGAGCUCGGUGUUAUCAGUCUAAUUGUUCGAAAAAGGGACCGUUAAAAAGUGAGGCUUUAACGGGCGGACACACGGCGGCGUGGCGCCACAUUUCCCCCCCGAAACACGAUUAAAGUGGAAAGUAAAGAAGUCGUGGAAUAAAAGAAUGGAGUGGGCAACUGCUCCCAAAUGCUUCAGCGUGAUGAGGGUGGGUCGGAGUGAAAGGCGGCCAACUAUGUGUGUCAUCUCACUGCUGGCUCCAUCUAGUUUUACCAGACGGCCGUUGGAAGGCAGCCGCUGUGCUUGCAAGUAUUGAUUUCUGCACAGACACAUUGAGGGAAUACAGAUGCCCCCCCCCCCCCCCCCCCCC